rnacentral:rRNA from 2 species
UCCAACCUGCCCAUCACUUGGGAAUAACCUUGCGAAAGUAAGACUAAUGCCCAAUGACAUUUAUAGAAGGCAUCUGAAAUGAAUUAAAGAUUUACCGGUGAUGGAUGGGGAUGCGUCUGAUUAGCUUGUUGGCGGGGUAACGGCCCACCAAGGCGACGAUCAGUAGGGGUUCUGAGAGGAAGGUCCCCCACAUUGGAACUGAGACACGGUCCAAACUCCUACGGGAGGCAGCAGUGAGGAAUAUUGGUCAAUGGGCGAGAGCCUGAACCAGCCAAGUAGCGUGCAGGAUGACGGCCCUAUGGGUUGUAAACUGCUUUUAUAGGGGAAUAAAGUGAGCCACGUGUGGUUUUUUGCAUGUACCCUACGAAUAAGGACCGGCUAAUUCCGUGCCAGCAGCCGCGGUAAUACGGAAGGUCCGGGCGUUAUCCGGAUUUAUUGGGUUUAAAGGGAGCGUAGGCCGGAGAUUAAGCGUGUUGUGAAAUGUAGAUGCUCAACAUCUGAACUGCAGCGCGAACCGGUUUCCUUGAGUACGCAUAAAGUGGGCGGAAUUCGUGGUGUAGCGGUGAAAUGCUUAGAUAUCACGAAGAACUCCGAUUGCGAAGGCAGCUCACUGGGGCGCAACUGACGCUGAAGCUCGAAAGCGCGGGUAUCGAACAGGAUUAGAUACCCUGGUAGUCCGCGCGGUAAACGAUGGAUG